rnacentral:rRNA from 1 species
CACGUAGGCACCAAGCGUUGUCCGGAUUUAUUGGGCGUAAAGAGCUCGUAGGCGGUUCGGUAAGUCGGGUGUGAAAACUCUGGGCUCAACCCAGAGCCGCCACCCGAUACUGCUGUGACUUGAGUUCGGUAGGGGAGCGGGGAAUUCCUGGUGUAGCGGUGAAAUGCGCAGAUAUCAGGAGGAACACCAGCGGCGAAGGCGGCGCUCUGGGCUGGAACUGACGCUGAGGAGCGAAAGCGUGGGGAGCGAACAGG